AAAAAACCCUAAUUUUAUCAUUUACUCAAAUUCUUCUUUUUAUGGUUAAUUACUUGUUUUUUUUGUUAAUUAAUGUAUUGCACUAGCACUAGCCGUAAUGGGAGUAUCUUUUUAUGGUUAGUUACUUGCUUUUGUUGCUUUUGAAGUAUCUUUUUUUUUUUUCCAGAUUUUUUGGUCUGUUUUGGAUCAUUUUUUGACUGUUUUUGUUCAGAUUUUUGAUAGUUGUGUUUCUUUUUUUUGACAGUUUUCGUUUAGGUUUUGUUUAAGUUUUUUAAUCAAGUUUUUUAUUCAUGUUUUUGCUUAUUUUGGCAUGGAGACUUUUAGUUUGAGUAAUAGUAAAUUCGCAUUUGAAAUUGAGUAAGUUGCUAAUACAUAGGUGGUUAGUAUGUAGUUAUUAAUGGAAGUUAAAAAGAUUUUGGUUGGUUUGUAGGAAUUAGUUUCUUAUAGUCAUGUUCCAGCAUCUAUUGAAGUCAUUGCGUCCAGUGGCAGAAUUGGAGGAAGAAAAGAUUGGAAGCUAAGGAAUAUUCCAAGAAUUUAGUUGCAAGUGCAACAUUCUCUGUUGAAAAUUUUAACCAUAAAGGGAAGGGGAAGUUACGAAUGCAAAGUAAAUUAAGUACUACUGGAAGAAUUGUGAAGGUCAAUAGAGAUAGUCUAUUGGCUUUCAGUGCUGAUUUGCACAAGUCUUGAAUUAUUUGGCCUUUCAUCAUAAUAUAUAUUGUUGUGGCUGUUGAGAGUGGGAAAACUGUUUUUCCCAUUCUCGUAGUUUCUAUUUGAUAUACUUUAGUUAGAUGCUCUUGUGAAAAGGGAUUAUAUACUUGUAUGUAUCCAAUCGGAAAUCUAGCAAAGGUUUAUAGAAUUUUCAUAUUUUCAUAUCUGCUAACUAUCUCAUAUUGAUGGUAUUUAAUGGCUAAAUAUCUCAUGAUGAUAAGAAAUCAUCCACUUCCAUCCAUCAGCUCUCCUUUUUAUCACACCAGCAGCCACGAAAAAACAGAUCUGUCCAUUAUUUCCAAAAUUGAAUCCGGUAUCUUCAAGGCAAAUAUGCACCCAAUCCUUUCAUAAGUGAGUUGGAGAGGAAGUUCUGCAGCCUGCAAUGAGGUAAAGAAAAUUUCAAGGAUUGAUGCACAUGAUACGAGAUAAUUAUUCCUUGGUUCUCAGUAGCCUAGAGUCACCCUCUAUUACUGUAAAAUGGCUAUGUUUCAAUUAUAAUGUAGUUGAUUGUACAAAAAAAAAAAAAAAAAAAAAAAGAGAUAAAAUGAUAAUUCAGGUAAUGUUGCAGAAAAAGUUAAAUCUCUUCAUGAUGACUUGGUACAGAUGAUGACACUGUAAGUUUCGCUACUUUGACAUUAUUCCUUUUGUUAAAUAUACUAAGUUCUUUUAUCUGAUAUGAUAGCUGUGUCAAAUAUAUUUCUCAGCAGUUGAAGAGCUCCUGAAUCAAGCGGAACAAGAUUACUAUAUUGGCUGAACUGUUUCAGGACAAAUAAUUCUUCAUGCGGUCUCAUGGUUUGCGGGCGAGCUGUUAAGGUGAUGAAUCUGAAGAUAGCAAAGAUAUUAUCGAGGAAGAUGAUGAUGACCAGAAUAAAGAGGAGGUGAUGGAAAAGAAGUUACCCAGAUUUAACAGAGCUCAGUUCAAAGUAACAUUAUAGGAAAAGAACGAUGGCGAUCAGACAAAGUCGAAUGGUUGUAAGUCGAAGGACAGAGGAACUGAAAAUGAUAGCCAUGGAGAUGGCAGCAGGAGGACUGAGGGACCAAUUGGGGCUGGUGGAAUUUGUAGAGAUCAUCUAGGUAAUUUGAUCAUGGCAUUCCAGCAAUCUCUGGGAACUGGUAGCAGCAAUCUGGCCGAGGCAAAGGCAGCUAUGAUAGGUCUUAAGUGGUGCAAGGAGUACGGUGUACCUUGGUUAUUACAAGAAGUUUUCAAUGAAAGUCGGAAGGUAAUCGAUGAAAGUAAUUGCAUCAUUCAACAUUGUUAUAGAGAAGGAAAUCAAGUGGUGGACGCAUUGGCAAAGGCAAGUUUGAUAAUACCAAACCAAGUUUCUAAUUCGGCGAAUGACUUGCCUAGCUAUGCUAAAGGUCCUUAAAGGCUUGACUGGAUAAUGAUGCCAUCUUUUAGACACAAGCACAAGAAGCACCAGUUUGUUUAAAUCAGUUGUUUAGUUUCCAGGUUGCCCCUCCUUAUACCCCUGUAUCUUUUUGUAUAUGUUUACCGGAGGGAACUUGGUUUUUAAUGUUAUUCCUUCUUAUGUAUAGCUGCUUCAUUGGGACUAUGGAUUCAUGGAAAUCCUGCAAGUUUGUACAUAAUUUUUGGUAAUGAUAUAAAGGGCCACGCCACCAUAUGGCGUAGUUGCAUUUAAAUAAAUAAAAAACGGUUUAGUUAUUCGUUCAAUCUAUAAGCUAUUUUGCAUUGUCUGAUCAGUAGUUGGAACUUGGAAGUUAAGUUUGUUUCUAGAGUGUAUUCUUCUUUCACCAUUUAUAUAUUAAUGGUUGACAGUAUUAAAUAUUCUGGUGAAUUGUUGGCAGCUAUUUGAGCUGGUUUUAGUUGAAUAUAAAAUUGUUUUCGUCUUGACAGGGGCAGCUUGAAUAGCAGCGGGAUCCUACCAAUUUGUUUGCAAAAUACCGACCUCAUGAGUGUCAUAGCGAACAAGUAAAGAAGGAAUGACCACACGAAGUCGUUAAAGGCGGGCAUCCGUCCAUCCAUCCUUCCAUCUGAACAAAGGCAUCCGAACUAAAGUAAUUUAAAUUACUCGAAAGAGAAGAGCAUUUGGUGGAUGUAAAUAUGCUUGUGAUCUGAGAUUUUGUGAGUUCGAGGGAAUAAAGGGAACAAAAUGGCAGAAAAUGGAGCAAAAAUGAUCAGAAUGCGGCGAAAAUGCGGCACUGGAAAGUGGAGAUGCGGUCGCAAGUUGUUUGCACAAAUCAACAGAGAGUUUACCAAAAUAUAGCAAGAUGCAAAGCAAUAUGCGGCACACAAACUCCAAUACUCGGUCAAAUACUCCAGCUCUGAGUAUCCAGUGAAUUAGACAAAGUGCACCAGAUUGCGGAGCACAUGAGACAUCGCAAACUGCAGAUGCGGUUGCAUACUCCUGUUGCGACCGCAUACUUGGUGCCGAAUGUCGUCAUUUAGGCAAUUCUUGUACUUAUUGUUCUCCCUCUAUAAAUACUAAUGCCUAGGUUUUUGUGGACAUCAUUGAAUAUUCUUAGAUAGACUUAUUGUUGUCUUUUAGCAUUUAGAGCAUUGAAUAGUGGUGGUUGAAGGUUUCAAAGAGAAUCUUUCACUUUUGUCAUCAACUUCCAUUAAUUAUUGGAAGCUUUAUGAAUAUUCUCUUUACCAUUGUUUUGUAUUUAAUGAACAUGAGUAGCUAAACCAUUUAGCUAAGGUUGUGGGAUCAAAUAUGUUAGUUAUGUGAU